GCGCAUUCCUGAUGCAGCGACGCCGCGUGAGGGAUGAAGGCCUUCGGGUUGUAAACCUCUUUCAGCAGGGAAGAAGCGCAAGUGACGGUACCUGCAGAAGAAGCGCCGGCUAACUACGUGCCAGCAGCCGCGGUAAUACGUAGGGCGCAAGCGUUGUCCGGAAUUAUUGGGCGUAAAGAGCUCGUAGGCGGUCUGUCGCGUCUGGUGUGAAAACUCGAGGCUCAACCUCGAGCUUGCAUCGGGUACGGGCAGACUAGAGUGCGGUAGGGGAGACUGGAAUUCCUGGUGUAGCGGUGGAAUGCGCAGAUAUCAGGAGGAACACCGAUGGCGAAGGCAGGUCUCUGGGCCGCAACUGACGCUGAGGAGCGAAAGCAUGGGGAGCGAACAGGAUUAGAUACCCUGGUAGUCCAUGCCGUAAACGUUGGGCACUAGGUGUGGGGCUCAUUCCACGAGUUCCGUGCCGCAACAAACGCAUUAANUGCCCCGCCUGGGGAGUACGGCCGCCAGGCUNAAACUCCAAGGAAUUGACGGGGGCCCGCACAAGCGGCGGA
rnacentral:rRNA from 1 species